rnacentral:lncRNA from 1 species
GUUUAAAGUAAUCGAGGGUUUCAAAAGACAAUACUAAAUAUAAUGGAUGCUAAAGUGUAAAUGUGAAAAAUCACGGAUAGCGUUCCAGUGUACUAGCACUAUAAAGUCCUGCAACUACGGUAGGCUAGCACAAAGCAGUCAAAAUUUACAUACACCCUUUGGUUAUUUAUUUUAUUUUAUUUUAUUUUAUUUUAUUUUACUUCUCUUUUUUUUUUAGUACAUACAAAACAUCUCACUAAUUAUUUUUGC